rnacentral:rRNA from 1 species
UACGAAGGGGGCUAGCGUUGCUCGGAAUCACUGGGCGUAAAGGGUGCGUAGGCGGGUUUUUAAGUCAGGGGUGAAAUCCUGGAGCUCAACUCCAGAACUGCCUUUGAUACUGGAGAUCUUGAGUCCGGGAGAGGUGAGUGGAACUGCGAGUGUAGAGGUGAAAUUCGUAGAUAUUCGCAAGAACACCAGUGGCGAAGGCGGCUCACUGGCCCGGUACUGACGCUGAGGCACGAAAGCGUGGGGAGCAAACAGG